rnacentral:ncRNA from 1 species
UUGGCUAGAGUGGCACAUUUUUUAAAAGUUAAUACAGGUAUCCCAAGAUGAGCUCAACGAGACCAGAAAUAUCAUGUGGAACCAAAGGGUAAAAACUCAUUUGAUUCUGAUUUCCAGUAAGAAUACAAACCAUGAAAGCGUGGCCUAACGAUCCUUUAGACCUUCAGAAUUCGAAGCUAGAG